UAUGUACCGACGCAUUUGUAUAUUCAUUCAUUAUGGUUUCGUUGAUUUGAUUUUAGUGGAAUGUAGUUGGACAAUUUCUCCGUUUUACCGGAUCGAGUUUAUAUGCUUACUUUAAGCUCAUUGGAAAAUAACAUGUUCAAGUCCUGUAGAUGAAAAUGAGGACAACCAAUGCAUCUGUCGAAGAUGACCAGAAUAUUAGAUGAAUCGGACAUUCGGUUCUGUGGAAAAUGUGAGGGACUAAACAAAAGAAGAAUGAAGAAAUUGAUGACUGGCUUGAUGAUUCAUUCUCAUCUACAGGACCCAAUAAGAUUCAUCCAUUAAUACUCAAGCCUAAUGUAACCACACCUGGUGUGAACAUACUUGCUGCCUAUGAACUAUUUGCAAGUGCAUCCAACUUACUAACAGACAAUCGCCGAGGAUUUCCAUUCAAUGUACUACAAGGAACCUCCAUAUCUUGCCCUCAUAUGGCUGGAAUCGCAGGACUUAUCAAAACCCACCAUCCGAAUUGGAGUCCAACAACUAUUAAAUCAGCUAUCAUGACCACAGGUACACUCACAUUACAGUUCCUUGAUUUUUACUAAGCACAACCCUGCCGCUGAAACUGCUAUUUCUGACCUGAAAAAUUAGGACAAAGAUGAGAGAGAGGCAUUUUGUAGGCUGGAAUGGGAAAUAUUGCUAUCAACUGUGGAGUUUCACUAUUUACAUAAAAAUUUAAUGAAAAUAUAGUUAAUGUUUUUUAAUUUAUUAUAUUGGCGAUUACAAUUUUGAUUUCGAUUUUGUAGAGUGUUGGUAAAUCAGCAGUUUUCAAUAGUUUAAUUGGACAUCGAGUUUUGUUUAUGAAGGACAACAAAUUAGGAUUCUUGGAUAUUCAAGCUCAGUCAACACUGUUAACCAUGAAAAACAGGCAUGUCUCGGCUUGUGCGAUUGUUAAUUGUGAGAAACCAAAGUCUGGGUCAAAAUAUCAAUAUGCAGAGUCCAGAUCAGCAGGUUAAUUCUAAGUUAGGUGUCAUCAAUCGGGUCCAUGGGAUGUUUAAUUGGCUGAGGGUCUAUUAGAAUGAUUGCUUGAGGGGAUUAUCAGUUGGUCGCACCUCUUUCGCUCACCGGAUAGCGUAGCUUUGCGUAUGAUUUCUAUUGCAUCAAAUAAUCUGUAACUCGAGGAUGAAUGUUUCUAUCCAUGUUUCGAGCCUGCUCUAAAACUAUGCUCCAGUAUUCAGGGAAGCCUUUUAUUUGUAGCAGCAAGGCAGUUUCCGAAUGGUAUAUUCCAAGGAGAAUUAUCUUUCAUCAAAGUGAUGUCCUAAUUCUAGCGCCUUGGUUCGGUCGCUGUAGGAUUUUCUGCUGCAUUGGUGAUUGAGUCAUUAAUUCGAUAGCUUCCUUUUCGGCAUCGAUUCUGAGGAAUGCUCAAUCCUUUUUCCGAUUGAGCUGUUGUUUCUUCGUCGUCUUCUCGAUCAGUCUUGGAUAUUUUCUCUAUAGCGCCUUGGUUCGGUCGCUGUAGGAUUUUCUACUGCAUUGGUGAUUAAGUCAUUAAUUCGAUAGCUUCCUUUUCGACUUCGGUUCUAAGGAAUGCUCGAUCCUUUUUCCGAUUGAGCUGUUGUUUCUUCGUCGUCUUCUCGAUCAGAUGUUGUACUUUUGAAUUUGCUUCAUAUGGCGGUGAAGGGACAGAUCCUUGUGGUGGUAGAGGAGUUGAUAAAAACAGAUCCAUCAACAAUAAACAUGGUUGAUAAUAAGGGCAAUACAACAUUGCAUAUAGCUACCAGGGAGGGUAGAACUCAGAUUAUUAAGUUGAUACUUGGACAGAGUGAAACAGAUGGCAUGGCAAUUAACAAGAGUGGCAAAACAACAUUAGACACAACUGAGAAAACAGGAAACUCUGAAGUAAAAAGCAUUCUAAGAGAACACGGUAUUCAAAGUGGAAAAUCCAUAACAAAAUCUCAACCAAAAACAGCUGCCAGAGAAUUUAAACAAACCGUAAGCGACAUAAAGCAUGAAUUCCAUCACCAACUAGAACACACUUGCCAAACGCGAAAAAGCGUUCAAGGAAUCGCAAAACGCCUCAACAAUACUAUUGGACUUAAAAAAGAAGUUGAUGAUGUAGCAACAAUCUUCACGUAUCAAUUGACGCUUAGUCUCCCAGCUUCGAUGUCUCCAGCUAUGGCAUAAACAUAUCUUGGCUCUCUAUUAUUGCUCACUGCAACAAAGACACAAGACAGAGUUAGGUCUUGAAAUCUAAGUCUUGAUACAAUGGACAUGGACAGAGAACAAUUAUAGGAUACAUAAACCAAAACUAAAAACUCUCCUUGUCUUUAUAUUUAAUUUGUAUUUGUCGUUGUAAAAUAUAUAUGUACAUGUAUCAUUUAGUGCUGAGUCACGUAAUGCAUGUUGAUUUGCAGUAUGAAUUUAGAGAUAUUAGAGAUGAGUGUCUGAAUAUAUUGAGAUAGUGGAGUUGAGUGUCUGGACAUAUUGAGAUAUUGGAGAUGAGUGCUUUUGUGGUGUGAACUACUUAACAUGGUUUGAAGGAGAUGUAGACAGUCAUGUUUGGCUUCGUUGAGCUGUAUAUUCUGUUGCUAUGCUAAGAUUUGAAUAUUUCAAAAUCAUUCCUUUUGUUUCUUCUAUUGAAGUUUGUGCUUAGAUUUUCACACUUUCUCAUUCUUCCUGGGGAUUUUUUUACUUACAUGCUGGUGGCGAAUUUUUUUUAUUUCUUCAGGUAAUGAAGCUUUUGUGUGUGUCUAUACAAGGAAUCUGAGUUAUAGUUUGACUUAACAUACAAGAUUAUGGAAUUAUUUUUUCCAUUUCCCAAGUUAAAGAUUUUCUUUACCAAAUGUGUUGUUUGUUAUGAUGAUUGGUUGGCUGGCAAGAACUUAACUUUGUCAAGAUGGGUUUUCUAUAAUCUUCUGUUAUGAUGUUUUUAUUUGUGAAUUAUUUCUAUCAGUAGUCAACAAACAUUUUUAUUUUCAAAAAAUUGAGGUAUUCUAUGAAAAUCACGUUUUUUAAACCACCAAAGUAGGUAGCAGGAGAACAUCAUAUUAAUAAGAAAAGAGGAUGGUGUUUAACUUUUUAGUUUAUCAGUCUAAUAAAAUAUACACAUAUUUUGACUAUGAAACCAUUCUAUAUUUUGAAAAUCAAGAGUAUACUUGUUGCGUAUCAGUGUAUGUGAUAGAUCUGCUGACAUCAACUGUGAAAGUGAUACACUAUUAGAUAAUUUUUUAGAGUUACAAGUUUAACAGAUUCAGCCAUCAAUUUGUUUUAUAUUAACUUGAUGAUCAAAGUAUGUAAGAUGUUGGAUGUUUAAAUAGUUUUUGAAUCAUAUGAAGCUCUGCAGCUUUGAUCUACUUAAUGAGAACUUUAAAUUCAAAUUUUGCUUUGUUUCAGCCCUUUGUUCGUUACAUGGAAGAAAGUGGUAAAUGGUGGAGAGCCUUGUCUUCGUGGAUGCAUUGGUUCUCUAGAAGCACGUGGAUUGGUCAAAGGCUUCAGAGAUUAUGCAUUAACUAGGUGUGUUGCUGUGUUAGUAGUUAGUAACUAAAGAACAACUCAUUAGAAAAGCACCUUUAUGAAAUGGUUUAUGUAAUAGUUCCCUUUUGCUUUGGCAAUGUAUCAUGUUUUUCUGCUUACUCUUUAUUCAGGUGAUUUAAACCUGAUAUUUUCAUGAUCUAAUACUU